CUGCUCCAGCAUGUGGCCCGUCGGGACCGASGACCGCGCUUCRGCUAGGAUGCUGGCGUAAUGGUCGUCAGCGACCCGUCUUGAAACACGGACCAAGGAGUUGUCGAACGACGCGAGUCUUUGGGUGUCAWACCCACGGGCGCAAUGAAAGUGAACGGAGGUGGGAACCCUUUCGGGGGCGCACCAUCGACCGAUCCUGAUGUCUUCGGAUGGAUUUGAGUACGAGCGUCGGUCGACUGACCCGAAAGAUGGUGAACUAUGCGUGAAUAGGGUGAAGCCAGAGGAAACUCUGGUGGAGGCUCGCAGCGGUUCUGACGUGCAAAUCGAUCGUCAAAUUUGCGUAUAGGGGCGAAAGACUAAUCGAACCAUCUAGUAGCUGGUUCCAGCCGAANUUUCCCUCAGGGAUAGCAGUAACGUUUUCAGUUUUAUGAGGUAAAGCGAAUGAUUARAGGCCUUGGGAWGAAACAUCCUUAACCUAUUCUCAAACUUU
rnacentral:rRNA from 1 species